rnacentral:rRNA from 1 species
AACGAACGCUGGCGGCAUGCCUAACACAUGCAAGUCGAACGAGACCUUCGGGUCUAGUGGCGCACGGGUGCGUAACGCGUGGGAACCUGCCCUUAGGUUCGGAAUAACUCCCCGAAAGGGGUGCUAAUACCGGAUAAUGUCUUCGGACCAAAGAUUUAUCGCCUUUGGAUGGGCCCGCGUUGGAUUAGCUAGUUGGUAGGGUAAAAGCCUACCAAGGCGACGAUCCAUAGCUGGUCUGAGAGGAUGAUCAGCCACACUGGGACUGAGACACGGCCCAGACUCCUACGGGAGGCAGCAGUGGGGAAUAUUGGACAAUGGGCGGAAGCCUGAUCCCGCCAUGCCGCGUGAGUGAUGAAGGCCUUAGGGUUGUAAAGCUCUUUUACCCGGGAUGAUAAUGACAGUACCGGGAGAAUAAGCUCCGGCUAACUCCGUG